rnacentral:rRNA from 1 species
AGCGUAGGCGGUUCGAUAAGUCACUUGUGAAAUCUCUGGGCUCAACCCAGAGUCUGCAAGCGAAACUGUCGGGCUUGAGUAUGGGAGAGGUGAGUGGAAUUCCUGGUGUAGCGGUGAAAUGCGUAGAUGUCAGGAGGAACACCUGUGGCGAAAGCGGCUCACUGGACCAUUACUGACGCUGAUGCUCGAAAGCUAGGGAGCAAACA